rnacentral:rRNA from 1 species
UACGUAGGGUGCAGGCGUUAAUCGGAAUUACUGGGCGUAAAGCGUGCGCAGGCGGUCUUUUAAGUCAGAUGUGAAAUCCCCGGGCUUAACCGUGGAACUGCUCGGUAUACUGGCGGUCUUGAGCCAACUAGGGGCUAUCGGAACAAGUGGUGGAGCGGUGAAAUGCGUAGAUAUCACUUGGAACGCCAAUGGUGAAAACAGAUAGCUGGGGUUGUGCUGACACUGAGACACGAAAGCCAGGGGAGCAAACGGG